rnacentral:rRNA from 1 species
CACGUAGGGCGCAAGCGUUGUCCGGAAUUAUUGGGCGUAAAGAGCUCGUAGGUGGUUUGUUACGUCUGCUGUGAAAUCCUAGGGCUUAACCCUGGGCUUGCAGUGGAUACGGGCAGACGUAGAGGUAGGUAGGGGAGAAUGGAAUUCCUGGUGUAGCGGUGAAAUGCGCAGAUAUCAGGAGGAACACCGGUGGCGAAGGCGGUUCUCUGGGCCUUACCUGACACUGAGGAGCGAAAGCGUGGGGAGCGAACAGG